rnacentral:rRNA from 1 species
UACGAAGGGGGCUAGCGUUGCUCGGAAUCACUGGGCGUAAAGCGCACGUAGGCGGACUACUAAGUCAGGGGUGAAAUCCCGGGGCUCAACCCCGGAACUGCCUUUGAUACUGAUAGUCUCGAGUCCGGAAGAGGUGAGUGGAAUUCCGAGUGUAGAGGUGAAAUGCGUAGAGAUGGGGGAGAACACUCGUGGCGAAGGCGGCCAGCUAGACCAGUUCUGACACUGAGGCGCGACAGCGUGGGGAGCAAACAGG